GGCGAUAGCGCAGCUGGCAGCGCGUAGGUCUCAUAAUCCUAAGGUCGUGAGCUCGAUCCUCACUCGCCG
rnacentral:tRNA from 1 species